rnacentral:rRNA from 1 species
GAUGAACGCUGGCGGCGUGCCUAACACAUGCAAGUCGAGCGAACAGACGAGGAUCUUGCUCCUCUGACGUUAGCGGCGGACGGGUGAGUAACACGUGGAUAACCUACCUAUAAGAAUGGCAUAACUUCGGGAACCCGGAGCUAAUACCGGAUAAUAUAUUGAACCCCAUGGUUCAAUAGUCAAAGACCUUCUUGCUGUCCCUUAUUGAUGGAUCCUCGCCGCAUUAGCUAGUUGGUAAGGUAACGGCUUACCAAGGCGACGAUGCGUAGCCGACCUGAGAGGGUGAUCGGCCACACUGGAACUGAGACACGGUCCAGACUCCUACGGGAGGCAGCAGUAGGGAAUCUUCCGCAAUGGGCGAAAGCCUGACCGAGCAACGCCGCGUGAGUGAUGAAGGUCUUCGGAUUGUAAAACUCUUUUAUUAGGGAAGAACAAAUGUGUAAGUAAAUAUGCACGUCUUGACGGUACCUAAUCAAAAAGCCCCGGCUAACUACGUG